rnacentral:rRNA from 1 species
UACGUAGGGUGCGAGCGUUAAUCGGAAUUACUGGGCGUAAAGCGUGCGCAGGCGGUUCGUUAAGUCCGCUGUGAAAGCCCCGGGCUCAACCUGGGAAUUGCGGUUGAAACUGGCGAACUAGAAUCUGGCAGAGGGGGGUGGAAUUCCACGUGUAGCAGUGAAAUGCGUAGAGAUGUGGAGGAACACCGAUGGCGAAGGCAGCCCCCUGGGCUGAGAUUGACGCUCAGGCACGAAAGCGUGGGGAGCAAACAGG